rnacentral:lncRNA from 1 species
CUUCUUCCGCGUUUUAAAAAUGUCAUAUUUCGUUUGUUGGUCCAUCUGAUAUGAUAAGUGUUUUCCUGAUUUUGCAAGUGACUUUGUUCUUCCGUUUUAUACUGAAAAUAACCUUGAAGUUAAUAAUUUCUGUUUGAAUUUCUAAUUCUUACCAUUAGGGGUACACAUAGAAAAGUCAGGAUUAGAAAAUCGGGAGGGGAGAGUGUGGCAGGGUAUUUAUAUCUCAAAACAAGAAAACUUAUACGGGAUGAUUUAAAAUGUUUAAAAUGCAACAUAGAGUCAAUGUGGAUAGAAUUAAAAGAGAGGCGAAGGAUACCAGAGGGACAUUCAAACUCAUAAACCGAAAAUAAACUGACGUACGCAAAUGGCGAAAAAAGAAAUAGACCAAACAAUAUAGUACACAAAACACAGCAUAGAACACAAAAGACUAAGCAAAACAAACCAUAUUCAUAAAAAGAGGAUUUGGA